GAAUGCACAUUUUUGCUGAUUUGCCACAAUUUUUUUUGUUGUUUUUUGUAAUUUGUUUUGCUUGACUUUGUUUUGUUUGUUUGUGGGAUUUGUGCCUUCAUCUCCGAGGUCAUUUCAUGGAAGAGCUCGAUCGAUCGUUGCAAACGCUCCCUCACAGCUUCGGCGUUUCUGCACGCCUAUUCGUGGUCUUGGCCGUGGCUAUCCAGCUUUGGACCCUCAUAAUUUUAUUUGUUGCGGAGAAAUUGGUCGCACGCGGCGAAAUAUCGAUUCACGAGUUUCUUGCGCCGAAGCUCGUUUCUAUGUAAGGUCUUCUUGUGCGAUGCUUCCCAUCGGUGAGCUUCGCUUGUCGUUUACAUGUUCGAUUACGCGCAUCGAGAUUGCUCUACAUUGAUUUCAAGCUCAGCUUCUCAUCGGAUGUCUGAUACUCUGUGUUCGAAAUUCGAUUCCAUGGUGAUCAGCUUGUCGAAUGUGCGGAGACUAAAGUUUGCAGCAUUCCGUGAGCUUGAAGCGUGCGGUGGUCUGCGUGCGAAUGAUUUUUUUGCAGCAAAAAGUACGAAUCAGGAUUCCUAUUCAACAAUCUAACAACAAUUGUUGAAAACUCUAACUCUGAUGAUCAACAUGGGUUCGAAAUUGUAACGGUGCAUUUCAUCCACUGUCAACAAUCGACGUUCGCUGUCAUAUCUAGGAGGUGGAAAGUAUGCUCUGCACGAGAGUGCGCCUUCAAUGCCAGAUCUUUCACGUGUGCAUACAGUGGGAGACGUUUCUUUCAAACAGAUUCAUCGUUAGAUUUCAUGGUAUGAUGGCACGGUGAAGGGGAAUGUGUCUGGACCAUCGGUUGUACACCUACAUUCUAGAGGUUUCUAAGAAUUAAGCAUACGAUGAGACUAUGCCUUGGUUAGAAUUCUUUUGUGAAUAGUUAUCCAGACGGAAUUUAAAAUUGUCGGUUGUAAUUGAUUGAGUAAUGAAGACGAUUAUGACAUACUACUCGUAGUACUUCAUCCUGUGUUCGUGUGGUUGAUGCUGACGCCACUUGAUUUGACUUCGUCGGUGACUUCUCCUGCUUCUUAGACUCAAUCGUCCCUGAUACUUUUACUCUUCGUCCUUCUCGUCGGUACUUGCGAUAGAUUUAGGGUGAUAGAUAGUUCAUGAUGAGCAGCUCUUGCAAUCGUUUCACAAACGUCAACAACAUGAGAGGUUAGCAUGCGCAACUCUAAUAUUUCAAUUCCUGCUAAGCUCUCAAAGCAUUGCAUACGGUACCGAGAUGACUUUAAAAGUUGAAGGGAACCUCUGCACCGUUACAAUUCGAUUCAUUUCGUCGAGGAGACAUUUCAUCCUUCAAGAGCGCGUGGCUCAUAUGAGAUCACCGUGUACCUAAGCAUCUGCUCAGGAGAACUUGAUGAUUAGGUUUGGUUUGGCGUCCUUGUUAUGGCCACUUUCCUCACUUCGCUAAUAUUUCCGCUACGCACCGUCAUAAUUCUUCUUCUAGUAAUUCAUUGCAUCGACCCCUACCCAGGCAUUCUUCUAAACAUUUACAAGCCCGCAGCGCCUCUGGUAUCACCUUCGGCUGACAACUUCACACGUCAGUGUCGAUCUGUAGUAGCAGGCAAAGGUACUCUCUAACAACUUAACCUCGAGGAUUCGUGGCCUGGGUACUGCUUUUGUUGGCUUGCAUUCCGACGUUCUGGUAUGAGUAGUUAUGAGCUGUGAAAGAUUUGUAUCCUGGAUGCGCAUGUCUUAAUGCGAAGACUUUAAACAUGUUUGUGUCGGAAGCACACAUGCGCUCUUCCUCUGUUUAGUUCACUCAUCCGACGCUUACAUUACUUAGGGUAAAGCUAGGAUCAAGUUCUACUUAGUCGGUCUCACUUAAGCUCUACUUAGGCGAUGUUGCCACUAUUUCCUGCAGUUCAUUUCUCAAUAAAUAAAGGUGAGAUGAUGUCGCUUUUUAUGA